rnacentral:rRNA from 1 species
CCUACGGGAGGCAGCAGUAAGGAAUAUUGGUCAAUGGACGAAAGUCUGAACCAGCCAUGCCGCGUGAAGGAUGAAGGCCCUCUGGGUUGUAAACUUCUUUUAUCUGGGACGAAAAAAGGGUAUUCUUACCCACUUGACGGUACCAGAGGAAUAAGCACCGGCUAACUCCGUGCCAGCAGCCGCGGUAAUACGGAGGGUGCAAGCGUUAUCCGGAUUCACUGGGUUUAAAGGGAGCGUAGGUGGGCUGAUAAGUCAGUGGUGAAAUCUCCGGGCUUAACCCGGAAACUGCCAUUGAUACUAUUAGUCUUGAAUUAUCUGGAGGUAAGCGGAAUAUGUCAUGUAGCGGUGAAAUGCUUAGAUAUGACAUAGAACACCAAUUGCGAAGGCAGCUUGCUACGGAUUGAUUGACACUGAGGCUCGAAAGCGUGGGGAUCAAACAGGAUUAGAUACCCUGGUAGUCCACGCCCUAAACGAUGGAUACUCGACAUCAGCGAUACACUGUUGGUGUCUGAGCGAAAGCAUAAGUAUCCACCUGGAGUACGACGCAGUUGAACUCAAGAUUGACGGNNGNGNGNGCGAGAGACGAGAGGAGAGG